GAUGAAGAACGCAGUGAAAUGCGAUAAGUAAUGUGAAUUGCAUUAUCUCGUGAAUCAUCAAAUUUUUGAACGCAUCUUGCACUCUUCUCUGGAAGAGUAUAUUUGUUUGAGUAUUAUUAAAAUUAUUUUUAUUGGAGUUUGUUAUUAUAUAUUUAUAUAUAAUAUCCUCUUAAAUUUUAGUAUAAAAAAUAUAUUUUCUUGAUAAAUAUCAUAGAAAUUAUAUAAAACCCACAAGACAGGAAAUUAUUAUUAUUUUAAUCUCAAAUCAAAUAAGAUUACCCGCUGAACUUAAGCAUAUCAAUAAGCGGAGGA
rnacentral:misc_RNA from 1 species